rnacentral:rRNA from 1 species
GUAGGUGGCAAGCGUUGUCCGGAAUUAUUGGGCGUAAAGCGCGCGCAGGCGGUUCUUUAAGUCUGAUGUGAAAGCCCACGGGCUCAACCGUGGAGGGUCAUUGGAAACUGGAGAACUUGAGUACAGAAGAGGAAAGCGGAAUUCCACGUGUAGCGGUGAAAUGCGUAGAGAUGUGGAGGAAUACCAGUGGCGAAGGCGGCUUUCUGGUCUGUAACUGACGCUGAGGCGCGAAAGCGUGGGGAGCAAACAGGAUUAGAUACCCUGGUAGUCCACGCCGUAAACGAUGAGUGCUAAGUGUUAGGGGGUUUCCGCCCCUUAGUGCUGCAGCUAACGCAUUAAGCACUCCGCCUGGGGAGUACGGCCGCAAGGCUG